AUGGGACCCCUUGCGGAAGUCUCCUUCACAAACGAUCCAACCCCUUUUGAGCGGCUCCAAGGGCUUACUUCCCAAUCUGUGCUGACUCAGUUAUCCUCAGCCUCUGCCUCCCUGGGAGCCUCAGCCCAACUCACCUGCAUGUUGAGUAGUAAAUACAGCACCUACACCAUUGAAUGGUACCAGCAACAUCCAGACAAGGCUCCUAACCACAGCAAGGGGGAUGGGAUCCCUGACCGCUUCUCUGGCGCCAGCUCUGGGGCUGAUCGCUACUUAAGCAUCUCCAACAUCCAGCCUGAAGAUGAAGCUGACUACAUCUGUGGGGUAGGUGGUACUACUAGUGGACAACAACAGUGA